rnacentral:tRNA from 1 species
GCCUUUGAAGCUCAACGGAUAGAGCAUCGGUUUCCUAAACCGUGUGCAGCCGGUUCGACUCCGGCCAAGGGCACUA